ACUUAUAUGGAAAUUAAAAUAAUUUAGUCUGCCUCUUAAAUACCGUUUUCUUUUUUCUGCUGGACAGAGCUCUCGCUCCCGUUUUCUUUUAAGUGUUCAGGGAUAACUAGGAUAAUUCCAUUUCUGUCCCUAAACCUUCAAUUCUGUUAAAAUUUUCACACUUCUCACAAUACUAACAUUCAUCUUUUAAGAGUGGAAACGCCUUUGGACGAUGGAAACGUGAUGUAAGUGUGUAAUUAAUACCUAAUUGAGAUAGUAAUAAUACCACAUUUAUGGCUAAAGCUGAGAAGUUAGCUGAAAUUUACGAACUGGAGUGUCAUUUCUAAGCGGAAAAUAGUGAUAGUAGAUCAUCAGAAGCAUUAUCAACGGAACCAAAACCCACUACAGUGGAAAUACCGUGCCCCAUGAGGACGGAAACGUGUUGAUUACAAGAUCAGGGAACAAUUACCCAUCAUUAUCAGCAGCAACCAUGUCUAAUGCUAAGGCUUCUGCUUCAGCCUCUGCUGGCUCUCCUCAUGCCUUGCAUGCAUCUACUACACUUAAGGUACUUCCUAUUCCUGAAACAAUAUCAGCAUUUCGCGGAGAACACCCGCAAGAAAGGGCUCAUCAUUUCAUUGGUUUGUGUGAGGAUGUUAUGACAAGAGCAAAUACUAUCAGCGAUGAACACAACAUCUCUUUCGUCAGAUCUAAAUUGGCUGGAGAAGCAGCACACAUGAUGAAUACCAGCGCUUUCAGUCCGCUUGAAAUAGGGACUAGUUAUGCAAAUUUCAAGAAAAAUUUCUUGAACAUUUUUGAGGGUAAGAGUCAAACUGACCUCAUGGUACUAGCAUCCAAGGUGGUCUUAGAUUUGCAGCUGAAAUUAACUCUCUUCACGAAAUGAAAGCCUUAAUCCCUACACACCAGUUCGUAACGGACUUCAUGGAUGUCUUACGACUUAACAACUGGUUCCAAGGAAACAGUAUGACAGAAACAGAUUUCAGAAGACUUCUGGAAUUCAUCUUUUACAUAUCAUUGGUGAAUGGGGAAGUGAAGAAAACCGCAAGUCAUUUCAGUUUUAAACCGGGAGACACAGUAGCUGACCUUGCAGUCCUGAUUCGAGAGAAAAGAGGGCUACCUGGUUGGUGCCUCUCCGGAAACUCAAACCUCACUGGUUGCUCCUCCACUCAUGGAUGACGACCAAUCUCAACCUUGUGCGGCAGCCAUGGCAAGGCCUGGAAAUGUCUGUUCGUACUGCCAUAAAAUAGGUCAUGUAGAAAAAAGAUGUUAUAAGAAACAAAAGGACCAGAAAUUGGCAGCAAAUAAAUCCGACUUGGAGAACAAAACAAAAGGGGGUAAUCUCUCUCUGUUAGACCAAAACCAGGUGCAUCGCCCCACGUGAAAACUGGUAGGACAAGAUCCUACAGGGACGUCGCUACCCAAUACUGCCUCAUACAUGGCCAGUGUAAACACUCAUCAGAGCAAUGUAAAGAUAUAAUCAAUAUGAGAAUUGAAAAACAGGCCAGAGCUAACCUGAACAGUACAAGGCAGUCGGGAAAAGACCAGCGCACAGUGGUAAACAAACCCGACUAAAACAUCUCAAUGCGCAAGACGCUGAGGCAGCAAAUUCUUCUGACAUGUCAGUGCAUUCAACCAUAAAUGCUGCUGCCAACAACCAACCAGACAUAAUGGCAUUACCACCUGGGGUAGGUAGGCAUCGCUUAUCUUUGGCUGUAGACACUGGAGCCACAGUAAACGUGAUCUCUGAAGAAUCUUACAAGAUUCUCAAACGGAAAAAUCCUGAAAAUCUUAGGAAAAAUUUCCUUACCAAUAAGUCUAUCUAAGAAUACUCGACUUGUUCAAACUGAUUUCUAUGUAGUCAGUAACUUUCAACUUCCUUCUGACGGCUUGUUAGGGCUAAGCGCCAUGAAGUCUCACCAGAUAGUAAUCAAUCCAAAGCAAAACACAGUCAUGUACUGCGGACGACAUCUGGAAGGGAUGAAACAUCCUGCUCCUUUGGUUUCCAGGCAACCCAGAAACGGUUCUUUAUCACGGAAGGGACAAAGAUCCAAUGGGGAGCCUCAAACGAUUCCAUCUGUCCGGUCUCCUAUGAGAGAUAAGGAUAUAACAGAAGCAUGGAGGGAAGCCAAAGCAAUUGUCAAUGCCAGUUAUGACAAUCCUGCUCGUGUGGCAAAACGGAUUACAAUUCGUGUUCCAGAAGCUCCUGUAGGCAGUGACAUCUGUCUUGAAGGUAUAGGUAAUGUCAGGCGAUUGGCUGUUGAAUCGACUCUUUCCACAAUUAGAAAGGGUCAUGUCACUCAUGCCUGUAUUGUUGUGUUAUGCGUAUCUGUACAUUUCCUUCACUGACACAUACAAAAAUGUAAUGAGUCAUUUGCUAAGUGUUUCCUGUAAGGCUUGGGUCACGUAGUGCCGCGCGGCGCCACCCCAGUACGUAGCGAGCCGAGGAACAAGAAAGGAGGGGAGGUCCACCCAGGCUAUAGCUGUUCCCGCAUCACACAACUUACACGUUAAUUUAUCGCAGAGUAAAGCAAAACACAACAGAUGUCUAUACAGACCCUACACAGUAUCCGGAAACAUUUCUGCCCGCAUCCGAAUACUUUCAAGAGGCUGUAGUACAAAUUACACGGGUUUUAAGGAUGUUUCUUCGGUCCUGGUGACAGACUGGUAAGGUUUCUACACCAUCAAAGGGAAAAGCAGUCUUGAAAACCCGUGUGAUCAUCAUUGUGUCCUUUGAAAACAGUCUGGUGUGAGAGCAAAGCUUUUCAGAAUACAGGCACUUAACCUGUCUUCAUGAAAAACAAGUGCAUUUAUGAUACCUGAGACUGCCUUACGACAUUCCCCCAAUGACUCUAAUGUAUCUUUCUUUUUUUCGUAGCAUAAGCCUGUCUCCCAUUGGUGAAAACAUCCUCACUACAUGUACUACGUUAUUUCAUUAGUCUCAAGUCGCUACUUAAAGUCUAUAUUAAUGUAUCUUUCUUCUUUUUUUUUCGUAGCAUUAGCCUGUCUCCCAUUGGUGAAAACAUCCUCACUACAUGUACUACGUUAUUUCAUUAGUCUCAAGUCACUAUUUAAAGUCUAUAUAAGCCUCAAUAAAUACGAAAGCUGUAGUGAUGGUCUGCCUCCCGUCAGCCAAUCAGAGCAUUCUAUUUUUCCGUUUUCUUUCUUACUCAUCGUAAAACUGAUGUAUCUUUCAUUUGUUGUUACUUCUUGCCUCACGGUGUGUUGGUGUCUUCUACUGCUAAUAUAACCGUGAUUCUUUUUGUUUUCUUUUUUAUCAUUACAAGCAGUAUUAUGAGUGCGGCUGUUCUGAGUGACAAUUACCUCAGCACAGCCUCGACCAAUCAGCACCAAGUAUUCAAGUCACGUGAUACUCUCUCCUCGCCGUCUGCUCAGCCAUUCGCCCUGCGCCCGCUGACGUGAUGUGACGGGUCUCCGGUUGUGUUGCAGCGGUGAGGUGGUGUUGCAUCUUUUCUCAGCGGGCGUGUUGUGGUGGAGUGCGGUGUGAAGGGAGAGGUGGAUACCUUCCUUCUCUCCCCUCCCCUCCCCUCACAUCCCGCUCCCUUCCUCCCCUGCCCGCCACCCUCUCCCCACUCUUCCUCGCCUGCUCUCCCCUGCUCCUCGUGUUCCAGAGGAGAUAAUUGGUGGGCUGUGUGUGGUGAGUGCCACAUUGUCUGUGAGGGACCCCCCGAGCCACACAGCACCAGCUGCAACAGCUACAGCAGCAGCAGCAGCAGCAGCAGCAGCAGCAGCAGCAGCAGCAGCAGGAGGAAAUGGCAUCCACCUUCUACCUCACCCAGUGUCACCAGGGCCUCCUCCUCCUCCAGCAGCUGGCCAGGGUGCAGGGACAGGAUGAGCAAGCAGGUGGUGACAGAGAGGGUGGCCAGCUUGUCCCUCCCUCCUGCCACCCAGCCACAGCACUGGCAGUUGCUGCAGUGAGACUGCCCAGGCACAAGUUUGUGCACGUGUCCAGGACGUGAAGGUGAUGGGAACGUGUCCUGUAGGAGGGAGCAGAGCUGUAACAGUACCCGAGUCUGCUGCUGUGCUGGGAGGAGGAGAAAAACAUCAGCAGUAGUUAGUAGUGGCAGUAGAAGUAUUCAGCAGUGCUGCUGCUGCUGCUGCUGCUGCUGUCAGUGGUGCAGCUGUUCACUCCUCCACAGCUGCUGCCUUCCCUCAACAUACUGUGUCUUCCCUCACCUACAAUGAACAACUAUGAACAAUACCUCUCGUGCAAUCAGGCAGCGCUCAGCUGUACUCACCGAUAGACUGACCACUAAGAAUUACCUGUGGGCCACAUGACAAGGCCCACACGCCAGCCAGGCUUGGUUGCCAGUCAAUAACAACAACAACAACAACAACAACAACAACAUCUCGUGCAAUGAAGAACACUGAAUAACAACAACACCUCUCCCCUGCAUCAUCAACAAUAAACAACAUCUGCUUUCUUUCACUCAUGCUGCCCCCCCCCCUCUCUCUCUCUCUCUCUCUCUCUCUCUCUCUCUCUCUCUCUCUCACCUCACCUCACCUCACCUCAGCUCAGCUCACAGCGCCACAGUAUGUCCCCCCACAGUAUGUUUACAAACCCACAGUGACUCCCCACAGCCCCUCACCAAUAAGUGAGCCCCUCACACACACACACACACACACACACACACACACACACACACACACACUGCAUCUUGUACAAUGGCCGCAAUAAAGAAUGGACACACAAAAUGGACAAACUUAAUUUUGUUCCGACCUGCGUGAAUGUAGUGAGGCUCAACAUGUACAAGUGAACAGUGAGGAGUGUAUUAGAUUCAAGACUCAAAGAUAUUAUACACAAAGUACAGGACACAGGUUGAUGAUGAGUAUGGUGAGUCAAGCAUUCAUCUGUGGCUGGUCUGCCUCUUGAAGCACAGCACUGACCUCUUGCCCCACUUGUUCCAGCAGCCCCUCACUGAUCUGUGUGGCAACAGCAGUACUAGUGCUGUGUGUUUGUGCGUGUGUGUUUAGUUCAAGUCAAGUGGGUUUUCAAGGGUGUUUUUACAGUUGUAGUGACAGAUUAACAACAUUUCUGCAUUACUGACAGGGGAAACAUUCUUUUAAAAGGCUGGAGUUGAAGUGAUGUGGGUUUUCAAGGGUGUUUUUACGGUUACAGUGACAGAUCAACAUUUCUGCAU